rnacentral:rRNA from 1 species
GAGGCUAAUACCGCAUAACACUUACGAGUCAAAGCAGCAAUGCGCUUGAAGAGGAGUUCGCGGCAGAUUAGUUAGUUGGCGGGGUAAUGGCCCACCAAGACGAUGAUCUGUAUCCGGCCUGAGAGGGCGCACGGACACACUGGAACUGACACACGGUCCAGAAUCCUACGGGAGGCAGCAGUGGGGAAUUUUGCGCAAUGGGGGAAACCCUGACGCAGCAACGCCGCGUGGAGGAUGAAAUCCCUUGCGAUGUAAACUCCUUUCGAUCGGGACGAUUAUGACGGUACCGGAAGAAGAAGCCCCGGCUAACUUCGUGCCAGCAGCCGCGGUAAUACCAGGGGGGCAAGCGUUGUUCGGAAUUAUUGGGCGUAAAGGGCGCGUAGGCGGAUUGACAAGUCUGAUGUGAAAUCUCUGGGCUCAACCCAGAGUCUGCAUUAUAAACUGUCGGGCUUGAGUAUGGGAGAGGUGAGUGGAAUUUCCGGUGUAGCGGUGAAAUGCGUAGAUAUCGGAAGGAACACCUGUGGCGAAAGCGGCUCACUGGACCAUAACUGACGCUGAGGCGCGAAAGCUAGGGGAGCAAACAGGAUUAGAUACCCUGGUAGUCCUAGCCCUAAAACGAUGAUUGCUUGGUGGUGACAGGGUACCCAAUCCUGUCGUGCCGAAGCUAACGCGA